rnacentral:rRNA from 1 species
GGUUAAGCGACUAAGCGUACACGGUGGAUGCCCUGGCAGUCAGAGGCGAUGAAGGGCGUGCUAAUCUGCGAUAAGCGCCGGUAAGGUGAUAUGAACCGUUAUAACCGGCGAUACCCGAAUGGGGAAACCCAGUGUGACUCGUCACACUAUCAUUAACUGAAUCCAUAGGUUAAUGAGGCGAACCGGGGGAACUGAAACAUCUAAGUACCCCGAGGAAAAGAAAUCAACCGAGAUUCCCCCAGUAGCGGCGAGCGAACGGGGAGGAGCCCAGAGCCUGAAUCAGCAUGUGUGUUAGUGGAAGCGUCUGGAAAGGCGCGCGAUACAGGGUGACAGCCCCGUACACAAAAGCGCAUGUGCUGUGAGCUCGAUGAGUAGGGCGGGACACGUGGUAUCCUGUCUGAAUAUGGGGGGACCAUCCUCCAAGGCUAAAUACUCCUGACUGACCGAUAGUGAACCAGUACCGUGAGGGAAAGGCGAAAAGAACCCCGGCGAGGGGAGUGAAAAAGAACCUGAAACCGUGUACGUACAAGCAGUGGGAGCACAGGUUUACCUGUGUGACUGCGUACCUUUUGUAUAAUGGGUCAGCGACUUAUAUUCUGUAGCAAGGUUAACCGAAUAGGGGAGCCGCAGGGAAACCGAGUCUUAAUUGGGCGUUAAGUUGCAGGGUAUAGACCCGAAACCCGGUGAUCUAGCCAUGGGCAGGUUGAAGGUUGGGUAACACUAACUGGAGGACCGAACCGACUAAUGUUGAAAAAUUAGCGGAUGACCUGUGGCUGGGGGUGAAAGGCCAAUCAAACCGGGAGAUAGCUGGUUCUCCCCGAAAGCUAUUUAGGUAGCGCCUCGUGAAUUCAUCUCCGGGGGUAGAGCACUGUUUCGGCUAGGGGGCCAUCCCGGCUUACCAACCCGAUGCAAACUGCGAAUACCGGAGAAUGUUAUCACGGGAGACACACGGCGGGUGCUAACGUCCGUCGUGAAGAGGGAAACAACCCAGACCGCCAGCUAAGGUCCCAAAGUCAUGGUUAAGUGGGAAACGAUGUGGGAAGGCCCAGACAGCCAGGAUGUUGGCUUAGAAGCAGCCAUCAUUUAAAGAAAGCGUAAUAGCUCACUGGUCGAGUCGGCCUGCGCGGAAGAUGUAACGGGGCUAAACCAUGCACCGAAGCUGCGGCAGCGACGCUGAUGCGUUGUUGGGUAGGGGAGCGUUCUGUAAGCCUGCGAAGGUGGCCUGUGAGGGUUGCUGGAGGUAUCAGAAGUGCGAAUGCUGACAUAAGUAACGAUAAAGCGGGUGAAAAGCCCGCUCGCCGGAAGACCAAGGGUUCCUGUCCAACGUUAAUCGGGGCAGGGUGAGUCGACCCCUAAGGCGAGGCCGAAAGGCGUAGUCGAUGGGAAACGGGUUAAUAUUCCCGUACUUGGUGUUACUGCGAAGGGGGGACGGAGAAGGCUAUGUUGGCCGGGCGACGGUUGUCCCGGUUUAAGCGUGUAGGUGUGUGUUCCAGGUAAAUCCGGUUCACUUUAACACUGAGGCGUGAUGACGAGGCACUACGGUGCUGAAGCAACAAAUGCCCUGCUUCCAGGAAAAGCCUCUAAGCAUCAGGUAACAUCAAAUCGUACCCCAAACCGACACAGGUGGUCAGGUAGAGAAUACCAAGGCGCUUGAGAGAACUCGGGUGAAGGAACUAGGCAAAAUGGUGCCGUAACUUCGGGAGAAGGCACGCUGACACGUAGGUGAAGUGAUUUACUCAUGGAGCUGAAGUCAGUCGAAGAUACCAGCUGGCUGCAACUGUUUAUUAAAAACACAGCACUGUGCAAACACGAAAGUGGACGUAUACGGUGUGACGCCUGCCCGGUGCCGGAAGGUUAAUUGAUGGGGUCAGCGCAAGCGAAGCUCCUGAUCGAAGCCCCGGUAAACGGCGGCCGUAACUAUAACGGUCCUAAGGUAGCGAAAUUCCUUGUCGGGUAAGUUCCGACCUGCACGAAUGGCGUAAUGAUGGCCAGGCUGUCUCCACCCGAGACUCAGUGAAAUUGAACUCGCUGUGAAGAUGCAGUGUACCCGCGGCAAGACGGAAAGACCCCGUGAACCUUUACUAUAGCUUGACACUGAACAUUGAGCCUUGAUGUGUAGGAUAGGUGGGAGGCUUUGAAGUGUGGACGCCAGUCUGCAUGGAGCCGACCUUGAAAUACCACCCUUUAAUGUUUGAUGUUCUAACGUGGACCCGUAAUCCGGGUUGCGGACAGUGUCUGGUGGGUAGUUUGACUGGGGCGGUCUCCUCCUAAAGAGUAACGGAGGAGCACGAAGGUUGGCUAAUCCUGGUCGGACAUCAGGAGGUUAGUGCAAUGGCAUAAGCCAGCUUGACUGCGAGCGUGACGGCGCGAGCAGGUGCGAAAGCAGGUCAUAGUGAUCCGGUGGUUCUGAAUGGAAGGGCCAUCGCUCAACGGAUAAAAGGUACUCCGGGGAUAACAGGCUGAUACCGCCCAAGAGUUCAUAUCGACGGCGGUGUUUGGCACCUCGAUGUCGGCUCAUCACAUCCUGGGGCUGAAGUAGGUCCCAAGGGUAUGGCUGUUCGCCAUUUAAAGUGGUACGCGAGCUGGGUUUAGAACGUCGUGAGACAGUUCGGUCCCUAUCUGCCGUGGGCGCUGGAGAACUGAGGGGGGCUGCUCCUAGUACGAGAGGACCGGAGUGGACGCAUCACUGGUGUUCGGGUUGUCAUGCCAAUGGCACUGCCCGGUAGCUAAAUGCGGAAGAGAUAAGUGCUGAAAGCAUCUAAGCACGAAACUUGCCCCGAGAUGAGUUCUCCCUGAGACUUAGAGUCUCCUGAAGGAACGUUGAAGACGACGACGUUGAUAGGCCGGGUGUGUAAGCGCAGCGAUGCGUUGAGCUAACCGGUACUAAUGAACCGUGAGGCUUAACCUU